GGGAUUAAAGGCUUGCGCCACACUCCACUCCACAGAAUGUUCUCUUUUUUAAAGUUGCAAAAAUUCACCUAACCUUCCAUUUUUGAGUCCCAGAAUGUUCUUUCCCUGGGGAGAGGCGGAUACUAACCACCACCUGCAUCGUGCUCGCUCAGGAGGCGGGCUAGCUCUUGUGCCCCGUGGCAUUGGCAUGACCUCCCGGAGGCAGCCGCUGUGCAGCCCUCUACUUAAACUCCACCUGGGUGCUGAGAAACUGGGUGAAGAGGGCGUGUCUCACAUUCGGGAAUCACUAAGCAGACAAUGCAGCCCGCCACCGGGUGAGGUGCUCUGCCCUGAGUGGCAGGUGUCCCAUGUCCAUCUGGCUACAUCAGCCUGGGAAAGGCUCCCCCUCCCCUUAGGCUUGCCUCCCCCCAGCAAACAGACUGUCCAGGCGGGAGACUUUGCCCUUUGUGGGUGGAAGAGCUGGAUGUCCAUCAUCCGUUUUUCUGAUUGGAAGCCACUGUUGUUAAAGAAAAAGAGCCCUCAAACUCCCUCAUUAGUUGGAGCCUCGCUCUUCACUACCUUGUCCUCCUCUGUGAAGGACCAUCCGUCGUCACAGAACUCCAGUCACCGUGACCCAGGGGUCACCAUGACUACGGGGGUGCUUAGACAGGGCAGCUGUCUCCAACUGCUCGAUUGCUUUUCAUAGCCUUAAUCUGCGACUAGACUGUCCACCACUCAUCUGGGGAUAAGCCAGAAGUGUGGGGUGCCCCAGGGGGGCUCAGAUGGCAUCUAUUCUAGCAGGCGCCUGAUGGAUGCCAGGAUUUGCAUUUGAUCCAGAAAUCAAGAGGAUCUCUAACUUCCAAUGUGACCUUGAUCUAAGAAGAACCCAAGAUGAGGAGACACUGGGAACCCCUACCCCGGGACUACAGUCUGGAUAGGAGACAUGCACCAACAACAAAGAUUCUUCUAACAAGCCUGCAAAAGAAGUUUUGUCAACAGCCUUAAAUAUCCUCAGUAGAGCAGGGUUCCGAGUCAAGCAAACACAUUUAAACAGGUCUUGAGAAGCUACUAGAAGAAAACAGGAAUUGCUUUUGUACCACGCACAAGUCUGCAGGCCGUCAUGAGAAAUGUGUCUUGAAGCACUUUUCCGAGCCAAAGGAAGAAAUAUUUACUUUAGCUGCACUAAAAAAGAAUGAAAGAAAAAGAAAAUUCACUCCACGGACAUUAUUAGAAGAGGAAUUUUAUUGAUGUGUUAGCUUCUCUGGAAGAUUCUUUUAACCAUGAGUCUAACCUUUCAAGUCAAUGUUAUGAAGUCAAGAGUAUGGAUGCCGCUGAAAAAUAUUAAAACAUUCUUGGCCAAGUGGUCGAUAAGGAAGGAGCUGGAGGGUAUGCCUUUUUAAUGUACAAUUCUGACAUUUUCUUUGAAAAUUCUGGAAAUAUCUGGAACACCUCAGAAGUCUUUCAAAGCUGUUUCUACCUCGAUGGCUUCCAAGUUGAAUCAUAGUUAUGCAAUCUAUUUCAUUCUUACAUAAAGGGAUUCAAAGUUCUUAAAGAUAUUGAUUUAAAUGAUGGUGAAUUCUUAAUCUUCAGAGAAAAGAAAUACAACUGACCUAUAAAGAUCCUGGAGAAUUAUUGUAUUUCUUGAGAGAGGAUUAUUCUCGCUUUGAUAAGACAAAAACAAGCCCCCCCAAAAAAAAAAUCCCUAGAAUUUAUAAUCUACAUGUACAGUGUUAUUUUUGAAUUUACCAAUGAAGAUGUUCCCAUUUAUGACUACUGAAACAAAUUAGAAAUUAAAUGUCGGGGUUAGAGAGAUGG